GGCAGCCACUGUGUCAGAGCCAAGCAAUACCUUGACUCACAGAUCUGGAUAAAGCAAAGAACAGGGGUGUUUCCAGAUGAAAAAGUUGGAAAUUAUGCCACGUCUGUUUAUUUCUUUCUUCUUCAGUAAUGAUGGAAAUUUCCAUUUAGAGAUUGUCAUGAGCAGCAUCUUUGUAUCUUUCCUGCCACUUGAAAGAAAUGUGGCAAAUUCCUAUCAAAGGAUGUGAAUAUAGAUUUCAGCCUGCAUUCUGAUUUUUGGCGCAGCUUCUGAGGUCUUAAAUUCAGCAAGAAAAAGGAAGGAAUAACAUUUUCAGCUCCCCAUGAUCCCAACGAUUCAGAUGACUCACAUGCACAAAGUCGUAUCCCUUGAAGCACUGGCUUGAGGGAAGCUUUGCUAAAACAACCAAACAUUCAUCAAGAGAUAAUUGCCAGCUCUGGAUGAACGUGCAGGAGCCAAAGAAAGCUGAGGGACGUUUUAUGCUGGCAAAGGCCAUUACUCAUCGGGUGGCAGUUGUAGCUUUGGAACUGCAAAUGCUGCUGUGCUUUGUUAACUUUGGUAUUCACAAC